rnacentral:rRNA from 1 species
AGGCUUAACACAUGCAAGUCGAGGGGCAUCGGGAGUAGCAAGUACUUGCCGGCGACCGGCGCAAGGGUGCGUAACGCGUGAGCAACAUGCCCGUAUCAGGGGGAUAAUCCAUGGAAACGUGUCUAAUACCCCAUAGUAUUAUGUAAGGCAUCUUAUAUAAUUUAAAGCUUUGGUGGAUACGGAUUGGCUCGCGUGACAUUAGCUAGAUGGUAAGGUAACGGCUUACCAUGGCUACGAUGUCUAGGGGUUCUGAGAGGAAGGUCCCCCCACACUGGAACUGAGACACGGUCCAGACUCCUACGGGAGGCAGCAGUGAGGAAUAUUGGACGAUGGAUGGAAAUCUGAUCCAGCCAUGCCGCGUGCAGGAAAAGACGGCCCUAUGGGUUGUAAACUGCUUUUGUAUGGGAGCAAUAAGGGCUACGCGUAGUCCGAUGAGAGUACCAUACGAAUAAGCACCGGCUAACUCCGUGCCAGCAGCGGC